AGAGUUUGAUCCUGGCUCAGAUUGAACGCUGGCGGCAUGCCUUACACAUGCAAGUCGAACGGUAACAGGGAGCUUGCUCCGCUGACGAGUGGCGAACGGGUGAGUAAUAUAUCGGAACGUGCCUGGUAAUGGGGGACAACUAGUCGAAAGAUUAGCUAAUACCGCAUACGCCCUACGGGGGAAAGAGGGGGCUUCGCAAGAACCUCUCGUUAUCAGAGCGGCCGAUAUCUGAUUAGCUAGUUGGUGAGGUAAAGGCUCACCAAGGCAUCGAUCAGUAGCUGGUCUGAGAGGACGACCAGCCACACUGGGACUGAGACACGGCCCAGACUCCUACGGGAGGCAGCAGUGGGGAAUUUUGGACAAUGGGCGCAAGCCUGAUCCAGCAAUGCCGCGUGAGUGAAGAAGGCCUUCGGGUUGUAAAGCUCUUUUGUCAGGGAAGAAACGGUGAGGGCGAAUACCCCUUGCUAAUGACGGUACCUGAAGAAUAAGCACCGGCUAACUACGUGCCAGCAGCC
rnacentral:rRNA from 1 species